CCCUACUCCUCGGCCCUGACCCUCAAGGGCCUCUGCUGUGUUGCCCUAAAGCCCUCCCUUUGCUUCCAGGAUUUCCGGAAAUAUGAGGAAGGCUUUGACCCCUACUCCAUGUUCACCCCAGAGCAGAUCAUGGGGAAGGAUGUCCGGCUCCUACGCAUUAAGAAGGAGGGAUCCUUAGACCUGGCCCUGGAAGGCGGUGUGGACUCCCCCAUUGGGAAGGUGGUCGUUUCUGCUGUGUACGAGG
rnacentral:sRNA from 1 species